AGAGUUUGAUCCUGGCUCAGGAUGAACGCUGGCGGCGUGCGUAACACAUGCAAGUUGGACGACGGUGCCAUGAAGUGGUAACACGGAGUGGUAUACGGAGUAGCGGACGGGUGAGUAAAGCAUGAGAAUCUGUCCUGUCGAGGGGGAUAACGUUCGGAAACGGACCCUAAUACCCCAUAGUCCGAGAGGUUAAAGGCAGCGAUGCGCGGCAGGAGGAGCUCGUGUCCUAUCAGCUGGUUGGUGAGGUAACGGCUCACCAAGGCAACGACGGGUAGCCGGCCUGAGAGGGUGACCGGCCACACUGGAACUGAGACACGGUCCAGACUCCUACGGGAGGCAGCAGUGGGGAAUAUUGCGCAAUGGGGGGAACCCUGACGCAGCCAUGCCGCGUGAAUGAAGAAGGCCUUCGGGUUGUAAAGUUCUUUCGGUAGCGAGGAAGGCAUUUAGUUUAAUAGACUAGGUGAUUGACGUUAACUACAGAAGAAGCACCGGCUAACUCCGUGCCAGCAGCCGCGGUAAUACGGAGGGUGCGAGCGUUAAUCGGAAUAACUGGGCGUAAAGGGCACGCAGGCGGCUAUUUAAGUGAGGUGUGAAAUCCCCGGGCUUAACCUGGGAAUUGCAUUUCAGACUGGGUAGCUAGAGUACUUUAGGGAGGGGUAGAAUUCCACGUGUAGCGGUGAAAUGCGUAGAGAUGUGGAGGAAUACCGAAGGCGAAGGCAGCCCCUUGGGAAUGUACUGACGCUCAUGUGCGAAAGCGUGGGGAGCAAACAGGAUUAGAUACCCUGGUAGUCCACGCUGUAAACGAUGUCGAUUUGGGGGUUGAGCUUUAAGUUUGGCGCCCGUAGCUAACGUGAUAAAUCGACCGCCUGGGGAGUACGGCCGCAAGGUUAAAACUCAAAUGAAUUGACGGGGGCCCGCACAAGCGGUGGAGCAUGUGGUUUAAUUCGAUGCAACGCGAAGAACCUUA
rnacentral:rRNA from 1 species